CAAUAAGCCUGUGUCCCCAUACAGUGGCUAUAACGGCCAACACCGAAGUUGCGUUUACCAACCGACAGAACUGGCCAUCAUCACCAAAGGAGUGAGCAAUCAACAGAUGGAAUCAUAUGACAAUAUAAUUCCACGAGCAUCCAUGGGCACUCCUCCCAGAGCCCAGAGCGGCCGCACCAGCCCCUCCGCACAACUUGAUGAUAUGAGACAAAUAUAUACAAAUGUAUGAGGGUGUGGAAGAAGAAAUCAGAUCUAAUAAACUAAACUGUAUGUUUUCUGGCUUUUCUUUUCAAAAA